ensembl:snoRNA
AUCCUUUUGUAGUUCAUGAGCACAAUGAUUGGAUGUUCACACACUUGUGUGAGAUGUGACAUCCUUGAACCUUAUUAUGAUGUCAGCACAUUACCCAUCUGACC